UACGUAGGCAGCAAGCGUUGUUCGGAGUUACUGGGCGUAAAGAGUGCGUAGGUGGUGCCCUAAGUCUGUUGUGAAAUCUCCCGGCUUAACUGGGAGGGUGCGGCGGAAACUGGGGUGCUUGAGUGUGGGAGAGGUAAGCGGAAUUCCUGGUGUAGCGGUGAAAUGCGUAGAUAUCAGGAGGAACACCGGUGGUGUAGACGGCUUACUGGACCACGACUGACACUGAGGCACGAAAGCGUGGGUAGCAAACAGG
rnacentral:rRNA from 1 species